rnacentral:rRNA from 1 species
UACGGGGGGGGCAAGCGUUGUUCGGAAUUACUGGGCGUAAAGGGCUCGUAGGCGGCCAACUAAGUCAGACGUGAAAUCCCUCGGCUUAACCGAGGAACUGCCCUCCAAACUGCUUGGCUUGAGUCCGGGAGAGGUGAGUGGAAUUCCCAGUGUAGCGGUGAAAUGCGUAGAUAUUGGGAGGAACACCAGUGGCGAAGGCGGCUCACUGGACCGGAACUGACGCUGAGGCGCGAAAGCGUGGGGAGCGAACAGG